rnacentral:rRNA from 1 species
UAAAGGGCUCGUAUGUGGUUGAUCGCGUCGGAAGUGUAAUCUUGGGGCUUAACCCUGAGCGUGCUUUCGAUACGGGUUAACUUGAGGAAGGUAGGGGAGAAUGGAAUUCCUGGUGGAGCGGUGGAAUGCGCAGAUAUCAGGAGGAACACCAGUGGCGAAGGCGGUUCUCUGGGCCUUUCCUGACGCUGAGGAGCGAAAGCGUGGGGAGCGAACAGGCUUAGAUACCCUGGUAGUCCACGCUGUAAACGGUGGGUACUAGGUGUGGGGUCCAUUCCACGGGUUCCGUGCCGUAGCUAACGCUUUAAGUACCCCGCCUGGGGAGUACGGCCGCAAGGCUAAAACUCAAAGGAAUUGACGGGGCCCCGCACAAGCGGCGGAGCAUGCGGAUUAAUUCGAUGCAACGCGUAGAACCUUACCUGGGUUUGACAUGGAUCGGGAGUGCUCAGAGAUGGGUGUGCCUCUUUUGGGGUCGGUUCACAGGUGGUGCAUGGCUGUCGUCAGCUCGUGUCGUGAGAUGUUGGGUUAAGUCCCGCAACGAGCGCAACCCUUGUUCACUGUUGCCAGCACGUUAUGGUGGGGACUCAGUGGAGACCGCCGGGGUCAACUCGGAGGAAGGUGGGGAUGACGUCAAGUCAUCAUGCCCCUUAUGUCCAGGGCUUCACGCAUGCUACAAUGGCUGGUACAGAGAGUGGCGAGCCUGUGAGGGUGAGCGAAUCUCGGAAAGCCGGUCUCAGUUCGGAUUGGGGUCUGCAACUCGACCUCAUGAAGUCGGAGUCGCUAGUAAUC